rnacentral:rRNA from 1 species
AGGACGAACGCUGGCGGCGUGCUUAACACAUGCAAGUCGAGCGGUGAUCCUCCUUCGGGAGGUGAUCAGCGGCGAACGGGUGAGUAACACGUGGGCAACCUGCCCCUCACACUGGGAUAACCUCGGGAAACCGGGGCUAAUACCGGAUACGACCUCGAGCGGCAUCUCUUGAGGUGGAAAGCUCCGACGGUGAGGGAUGGGCCCGCGGCCUAUCAGCUUGUCGGUGGGGUAAUGGCCUACCAAGGCGACGACGGGUA